GCCUGGAAUAACACGAGGAAACUUGUGCUAAUACCGGAUAAGUCUUUACGGAGAAAGCUUUAUGCACCAUUGGAUGAGCCUGCACUUGAUUAGUUUGUUGGUGGGGUAAUGGCCUACCAAGACUGUGAUCAAUAGCUGAUUUGAGAGGAUGAUCAGCCACAUUGGGACUGAGACACGGCCCAAACUCCUACGGGAGGCAGCAGUGGGGAAUCUUGCACAAUGGAGGAAACUCUGAUGCAGCGAUGCCGCGUGAGUGAAGAAGGCCCUUGGGUUGUAAAGCUCUUUCGUCGGGGAAGAAAAUGACUGUACCCGAAUAAGAAGGUCCGGCUAACUUCGUGCCAGCAGCCGCGGUAAUACGAAGGGACCUAGCGUAGUUCGGAAUUACUGGGCUUAAAGAGUUCGUAGGUGGUUGAAAAAGUUAGUGGUGAAAUCCCAGAGCUUAACUCUGGAACUGCCAUCAAAACUUUUCAGCUAGAGUAUGAUAGAGGAAAGCAGAAUUUCUAGUGUAGAGGUGAAAUUCGUAGAUAUUAGAAAGAAUACCAAUUGCGAAGGCAGCUUUCUGGAUCAUUACUGACACUGAGGAACGAAAGCAUGGGUAGCGAAGAGGAUUAGAUACCCUCGUAGUCCAUGCCGUAAACGAUGUGUGUUAGACGUUGGAAAUUUAUUUUCAGUGUCGCAGGGAAACCGAUAAACACACCGCCUGGGGAGUACGACCGCAAGGUUAAAACUCAAAUGAAUUGACGGGGACCCGCACAAGUAGUGGAGCAUGUGGUUUAAUUCGAAGAUACGCGCAGAACCUUACCAACACUUGACAUGUUCGUCGCGACUCUAAGAGAUUAGAGUUUUCGGUUCGGCCGGACGAAACACAGGUGCUGCAUGGCUGUCGUCAGCUCGUGUCGUGAGAUGUUGGGUUAAGUCCCGCAACGAGCGCAACCCUCACUUUUAGUUGCCAUCAUUAAGUUGGGCACUCUGAAAGAACUGCCAGUGAUAAGCUGGAGGAAGGUGGGGAUGACGUCAAGUCCUCAUGGCCCUUACGUGUUGGGCUACACACGUGCUACAAUGGCAUCUACAACAGGAAGCAAAACGGCAACGUUAAGCAAAUCCCGAAAAGAUGCCUCAGUUCGGAUUGCACUCUGCAACUCGAGUGCAUGAAGCUGGAAUUACUAGUAAUCGUGGAUCAGCGUGCCACGGUGAAUGCGUUCCCGGGUCUUGUACACACCGCCCGUCACACCAUGGGAGUUGGUUCUACCUUAAGGCAAGGUUUUAAACCCUUGACCACGGUAUAGUCAGCGACUGGGGUGAAGUCGUAACAAGGUAG
rnacentral:rRNA from 1 species